CAGUUGUAGACUCUAUCAUGACUCACUCAGUCUCUGUCCACUAUAUAGUAUAUUUCCAAGCAGAUUCUGAUUUCCAAGAGUUGUGAUUUGCCAUGAAUGUCAUGUGAUACUGCUAUGAAUAUCGAAUGUGGUUGAGAUAGAACAUGAUGGACUGGCCUGUGCAGUGGAUGUCAGUGAAAAUGGGUCAGAAUACUUGGAACUACUGCAGUACAGUAUGCAACCACUGAGCUAGUAGCUAUAUUACCAUUAGCCUCAUUCCCAAGCCGUAUAAACACUGCUCUAUAUUAAAUUGGCCUAGGAAAGAGGGUGUUAUAGUCACUGAUCAGUUCGCACUUCAGUCCUUGAUGAUCACUUAGUAUACAGUAGAUACAAGUAAGUACAGAACAAAGUCUUACAAAUUAGUGAUAACGUCUUUUUUGGAUGCUUUGGGCAGUAAAAAGCAGUUUUCUCGGACACUCUUGAUACAUGAUUCACCCACACACAGAACGCGAUGGAUCAGUCGGUAGUAGAAAAAUCAGUGAAGAAGAGCUCGGGCUCAGAAUACUGGCUGGAACACUGCAACAUAGGGCUCCUAGAUGUCAAUGACAGUAGAAGCAGCGCUACUCCAUUCUGAUAAGGUCCCAUCGAGAGGCCGGGUAUAUGAGUGUCACGGGAAGUGAGGUGACUGAGGUCUGUCUAGUCUUGUGCUCCCUGGACCACACCAUCUGGGAUAUCAGGUCUAACAGGGCAACAUAGGGCUUCUGGAGCCAGUCUGAUGGGACCCAUCGAUGUCUGGUCUUGUGCUACCUCAGUCCUGGACCAAGUGUCUGGGACAGUAGGUCUAUAGUGAACAGUUAGUCACAAAACUCAUAGUUUCCAUCAAGCGAAUAUGGCCAUCCUGUCACUGGCGGUCCAUGAGGGGUUCUGUGUGACGGGGUCAGAGGAUGGUGUGUUGAGGGUGUAUAUAGCUUCUGGACUUCUUAACACGCCGAAGUCAUGGAAGCAGAACGAUGGACUGGUCAGUGUAGUGAAUGUCAGUGAACAGUG